AAAUUUUCAUUGCCUUACUUGGAAGAAAUGAGUAAUUCGAUGAUGUUUUAGUUGCUCUACAAUUUUCUUUUUCAUUGAUUAGUUAAAUACUUAAAUCUUGAAAGCAUGUAAAGUAAGCUGCUGAGUUGCUGAGUUGCUGUAAGCUUGUUUUUGUCAGCCGAACUAGGUGUUAAAAUCUUUGAAGAAGACAUGGGAUUUGUCUUGUUCGGAUCAAUGUCCUUGUCAUUUAGCGACUUCCUAUGAACUAAGAACUAAGAUGCUAAAAACUUCUUGGUGUCUAAAAUUUGCUGUAAAUGCAGGUUGGGACCAAGGAUGUUGGGAAUGUGCGUGGGUGAGAAGAGAAAGUUGAAAAUACCAUCAAAACUCGGUUAUGGGGACCAAGGAUCUCCCCCAACAAUUCCUGGUGGAGCAACUCUUAUCUUCGACACUGAGCUUGUUUCUGUUAACGGGGACCCAUCCAGCGGAGGUGCUGAAGACAUUGAUGAAGACGUCGAUGACGAACUAUAGACUGGAAGCGCUACAGUUGAAGUUUUGCUUUCAAAGUAGACUUACAAUGGUAUUAUUAGAUCAUUGAGUUGCCCAGAGUAGUUUCUAGCUUUUUCUUUUUCACCAUUUAUCUGUCGAACAUUAGUAGAGAAGAAUAGAGAUCAGUAAUCCGUCUUCUGCCACAUUUUUUUUUUCUAAGCUAUAGAUGGUUCUAUGCA